UACGUAGGUGGCGAGCGUUGUCCGGAUUUACUGGGCGUAAAGCGCGCGCAGGCGGUCCGGCAAGUCUCCGGUGAAAUCGCCCGGCUCAACUGGGCGGGUGCCGGGGAGACUGGCGGACUUGAGGAGCCUAGAGGCCGGUGGAACUCCCGGUGUAGUGGUGAAAUGCGUAGAGAUCGGGAAGAACACCAGUGGCGAAGGCGGCCGGCUGGGGGUGUCCUGACGCUGAGGCGCGAGAGCGUGGGGAGCAAACCGG
rnacentral:rRNA from 1 species